rnacentral:rRNA from 2 species
GGGUUGUGAGGUUAAGCGACUAAGCGUACACGGUGGAUGCCCUGGCAGUCAGAGGCGAUGAAGGGCGUGCUAAUCUGCGAUAAGCGCCGGUAAGGUGAUAUGAACCGUUAUAACCGGCGAUACCCGAAUGGGGAAACCCAGUGUGAUUCGUCACACUAUCAUUAACUGAAUCCAUAGGUUAAUGAGGCGAACCGGGGGAACUGAAACAUCUAAGUACCCCGAGGAAAAGAAAUCAACCGAGAUUCCCCCAGUAGCGGCGAGCGAACGGGGAGGAGCCCAGAGCCUGAAUCAGCAUGUGUGUUAGUGGAAGCGUCUGGAAAGGCGCGCGAUACAGGGUGACAGCCCCGUACACAAAAGCGCAUGUGCUGUGAGCUCGAUGAGUAGGGCGGGACACGUGGUAUCCUGUCUGAAUAUGGGGGGACCAUCCUCCAAGGCUAAAUACUCCUGACUGACCGAUAGUGAACCAGUACCGUGAGGGAAAGGCGAAAAGAACCCCGGCGAGGGGAGUGAAAAAGAACCUGAAACCGUGUACGUACAAGCAGUGGGAGCACAGGUUUACCUGUGUGACUGCGUACCUUUUGUAUAAUGGGUCAGCGACUUAUAUUCUGUAGCAAGGUUAACCGAAUAGGGGAGCCGGAGGGAAACC